UAAGACUCUUAAAUCUAGAUGAACAAGUUUCUAGAUUGAAUUUGUGGAUUAGAAUCGUACCAAGUAUUUUCUCUUAUUGAGUAGGUCUCAUCCAUGAGGUUGAUGUUACAUCUUAUCAAUAAAAAUGAAAAAGUGAAAGAAAGAAGGAUAGAUGGAUCUUAGGUUUUAUGAAGGGCUGUUUUUUACUUUCUGUUUAUAAUAUACGAUGCAUGUUUGCAACCUCUUUAAAGACAGCUUAAAUUGUAAUGCCAUCUUGUUUUAUCACUUUAUUCUAAAUCGACUUUUGGAAAUUAUUUAUUUGUGUGGAUCUUGAUUAUUUUUAAACCAUUAUAAGAAUGAAUGUUUGGUAAUAUGCGCUCUAUUUUUUACAAUUCAUUGUAAUUCUUUGCCGAUCAUUGAUCUGCACUAUUUUUUGAGCAUGUACCGAAAGUUGCAGCGCACCCGAAACAAUUUUGGACUUUUCAUAUUCUAAAUCCAUAUGCAAGAUGGAAUUUUUCCUCUCAGAGGUGGUACAUUCUCUUCUAUAUUAAAAGUGCUUGAGACAAUACACAGUAGACUAGCUCAAGUACAUGGAACUUGCCUGAAGUUUUUUCGAGAGUACUCGGUGUUCACUUGCUUGCUGGAAAACUUUUUCUACACGAGGAGAGGUGCAAGAUAAGGCCCUCAAAGUGGUUCAUGAGUGCCUAAAACACAUUGAAGGAGGGCUCAAGCUCAACGGGAACGUUUUUAAUGGAGAAACAUGUGGGUUUCUUUGCAUAGUUGCUAAUGCUAUAAGGUUCGGCAUGGGAGUACUAGGGGAAGCUGGGGGAAUACAGUAUUAUGAUCCUGAGGAAAUGCUGGUCCUUCAUUCUUGGAUCGAAGGGUUCAGAGGCAUAGAAGUCAGGCAGAUGUUUCCAUCUUGCGAUGAGCUUGUCUCCUACUUUAGGGGUCGCCAUGAAGCCCUACUUGGAAGCCCGACUUCCUCUUAAUCAAAUGAAGGGUACCAAUUGCAUUUCAUUGUCUCAUGCUAUGUCUCACAACUCUUGUUUAAAGUUUUCCUUCAA